UGGUGGGUUGCCUUGUCAGGUUGAUUCCGGUAACGAACGAGACCUCAGCCUGCUAAAUAGUCAGCCUCGCACCUGCGGGGCGCAGACUUCUUAGAGGGACUAUUGGCGUUUAGCCAAUGGAAGUAUGAGGCGAUAACA
rnacentral:rRNA from 1 species